rnacentral:misc_RNA from 1 species
AAAAAUGGCGACUUCCUUGGAUUUGCAAUGUUUAUCAUCUACUGAACACAUUUGUCAGUACUUAAAAACACUAGAAAAGGAUGUUGAAAAAAAGAUUAAGAAACUUGAAUGUGAUUGUUCACAGUUACAGCUACUCUUUAAGCCAUGGCCAAAAAACGGCAAAGGAAGCAAUAAUAUCAAAGCACCAAUAAAUGAUGACAAGUGUUUAUCUGAUGAAAGAAAAAGAUGUGAUGAACAGAUGGAAAGUAGUAAUCUUAUAGAAAGUCCUGCAGAAAGUUUAACACCAGCUGAGAGAGAGGCACUUAAUGCCAUGGAAAAACUUCUUGCAAAAGCUCAAAAAGCAAGGACAUUGCAAAAGAAGGCAAGUUGAUAUUAAACCAUAUCAAAAUGAUUCAAACUGUGUUUGAAAUUUUUCAGGGAGUAUACAUGGUAUAUAGGCAAAAAAUGUUUAUCUAAGUGCUCUAGUAAUUUAAUUGAUUAUGGUAAGACAUAAAGGCAAUUAUUAAAUUAAAUGACAGAGAUAUACUGCAUGUGAUGCUGACUGCAAUCUAAACAACACAUUUUUUUUUACAACAAAAGAAGGUCCAUGUUGCAUUGGAAUUGAACAUAAACAAUUUAUUGAAUUAUUUUCUUCGUAUUCAGACAGAGGAUUGUCCUAAAAGUUACUCAAGGACUGUUGCUCCAUCUUCCCAAAAGAAAGAGCUGAAGAUAGAUGAAAAUGAAAAAGCAAAAAGUGUUUUGUCUAAUGAAAUAAUGAAUUCCUCAUCUAAAACUUCUAUCAAAAAGCCUUCUGAGAAAUCAAAUGCACAAAGCAGAAAAUUUAGCAGAAAUCCUGCACCACCAUCAAACAAAAGUCACAUCAAGGCUCCUUUUCAAACAAAUCCUGGUCUGUCAUUUCCGAAAAACUCCACAAAUCAAGAAGCAAUGAUCAGAGGAACAAAGAAUAAGAAGUUAGUAGGGAGAGGGCAUGUAGGGAGGGUUGGAACAAGAUCCACAACCAGGGCACCUGCUGUCACUGACCAGAGAGCUCCUACUGUCACUGAGAAGACAGCACCUGCUGUCAAUGACAAGGUCAAGUCAGCUAGCCAGAGCAACAGUCCUGACCCAGUCUGUGAAGACUCGACUAGGCUGGAGACAAACCAACGUAACCAUAGUGAUGCUGAUGAUGUUUCACCUCGGUCGGCUUCGGCCAGUCAUGUACAGAAGCAUGAUUCACACACCACUCAGGCUUGUCACAUUGACUCCAAAUCUACAAAUGUAGAAAAAAAUUGUAAUGACAGGGAUGUUAGGGCAACAAAUACUGAGCCUAAGAAAGAUAACAGAUUUAACUUGUACAGAGAUGGGAGCCAAGUUGAGAUACCAUCGAAGCUGAGAAAGCUAGUGUCGGUGAACCACAGACUGAGACAGAAAUUAUCGGUCGUUAGAGUCACAAAAAAGGUGGAUUCUACCAAGUCUGGACAGGACUUCAUUGAAUCAGUGGAGAGACUGUUUGAGCAAGAUCCGGGAUAUAAAUCAGCCCUGGCAGCUCAGAGGGUGGAACAUGAGUACAGGAACCUGGGGAAGAUGUUGGAAGGACUGACAGAUGGCAUAUCCAUGGAUGAAACGCCUGUGUAUGAAGUUUUGAGGACAAAGAAUAUACUGGAAACAGUCUUAACAAGAUUUUAUCAACUUCAAGAAGAAUGGGAUUCUGAAGAUAUUGAUUGCAUCAAUGAGCUGGCAUUGUGCCAAGCUCACAGAGAGCCUAAAUGGAAUCCUCCACCUCCCACCACCAGGUCAGAUAUGAUGUGGUCUCCAUUUUCUAGUGAAUGUGUUUUACCUGAGCUGAAUUCUCGAGUACAGUACAGGUCAACAAAACAGCUGGAGCGCUAUAUACACCUGAUGUUCCAGAUUCAGUACCAACACUUGGUCUGUUUACUACAGCAGUCCAUCAUCUCAGUCAUAACCAAACAAAUGGAGUCCCCAGGACUCUCAGCCAGUGAUUACCUCCAAUUGUUGAGGACUCUCUGUUUCAUGACCAACUCCAAAACCUACCCAGUGAUUGUUGUGGAUACCGUGGAGACAGAGAACACUCCUCAGAUUAAUAUGACCGGUUAUAUACAUGUAUAUUUAUCAUCAGCUUUUAUAUGGAUAUGUUAUCAAUAAAAUUUAUUUUCUUACACUC